rnacentral:rRNA from 1 species
UACAGAGGUCUCAAGCGUUGUUCGGAAUCACUGGGCGUAAAGGGUGCGUAGGUGGCGUGGUAAGUCAGAUGUGAAAGCCCAGGGCUCAACCCUGGAAUUGCAUCCGAUACUACCAUGCUAGAGUACUGAAGAGGUGACUAGAAUUCUCGGUGUAGCAGUGAAAUGCGUAGAUAUCGGGAGGAACACCAGUGGCGAAGGCGACUACCUGGCCUGUUUCUUGACGCUGAGGCGCGAAAGCUAGGGGAGCAAACGGG